rfam:Coccomyxa subellipsoidea C-169, whole genome shotgun sequence.
CGGAUCGUUCAUACCAGGCUGAACACGCCCGUUCUCGUCCGCUCCCGGAAGCAAAGCCGCAUUGGGCGUCACCAGUAGUGGGUUGGGUGACCACCUGCGAACCCGACGUGACGAUCUGU